UACAGAGGUCUCAAGCGUUGUUCGGAUUCAUUGGGCGUAAAGGGUGCGUAGGCGGCGCGGUAAGUCGGGUGUGAAAUCUUGGAGCUUAACUCCGAAACUGCAUUCGAUACUGCCGUGCUUGAGGACUGGAGAGGAGACUGGAAUUCAUGGUGUAGCAGUGAAAUGCGUAGAGAUCAUGAGGAAGACCAGUGGCGAAGGCGGAUCUCUGGAGAGUUCCUGACGCUGAGGCACGAAGGCCAGGGGAGCGAACGGG
rnacentral:rRNA from 1 species